rnacentral:rRNA from 1 species
UACAGAGGGUGCGAGCGUUAAUCGGAAUUACUGGGCGUAAAGCGCGCGUAGGCGGCUUUUCAAGUCGAUUGUGAAAUCCCCGGGCUUAACCUGGGAACUGCAUUCGAGACUGCAUUGCUAGAGUAUGGGAGAGGGAAGUGGAAUUUCCGGUGUAGCGGUGAAAUGCGUAGAUAUCGGAAGGAACAUCAGUGGCGAAAGCGACUUCCUGGACCAAUACUGACGCUCAUGUGCGAAAGCGUGGGGAGCAAACAGG